AACAGCUCUCUCUCUCUUUCUCUUGUAACCCCUCCAUCAAAAGAGGAAAUAUUGGAGAUUUUGGUAGCUUCAAAUUGGAGAAGUUUGGAAGAACUCUCUAAUGGUGGAUCAAGCUUCUUGACUAUUGUGACUAAGGAGACAACUCCGAUUUGGAUUACGACAAGAUUACAACGUCCGAUUAGAGGAAUUUGAGAAAUUUCAUUCAUUAGGCUUGAAGCGUGCCGAAUCGACAUCAGAGAGCCAAUUGCUUUAACAUCCUAGCAAUUGGUAAUUAACUAAAGUGGAUGGUGCUCUUUGAAAUGAGCCAACUAUAAGCGAAGUGGCAUCAAACCGAGGCGUGGGUGUUGCGUCUUAGAUUGCAAGGUCACCAAGUGUAGGUUACCCAUGUUCAAGUAAAAGAAAAGAUUGUAAAGGUAUUUGGAACGAAAAUGUAAUUGCAAACAAAUAUUGUAUUUUAAGGAAAUGACAUGUACCAAAUGUUAUAUAUCUAAGUUGGAAAAUAUAUGUAUAAAUGUGAUUGUUCCAAUAUUGUAAUAGUUAGAUUUACAAACUCGCUCUUGUGAUAUGCCCUCAUACAGAACUGUGUU